AAUAUAGUUGACCUAUGGCAUAUAGUAUUAGAUAAAAAGACCAAACUCAAAAACUUAACUUUGACCACUGAACUAUGAAAAUGAGGUCAAGGUCACAUGACAUCUGCCCGCUAGACAUGUACACCUUACAAUCAUUCCAUACAACAAAUAUAGUAGACCUAUUGCAUAUAGUAUGAGAAAAACAGACCAAAACACAAAAAUUUAACUUUAACCACUGAACCAUGAAAAUGAGGUCAAGGUCAGAUGACACCUGCCAGUUGGACAUGUACACCUUACAGUCCUUCCAUACACGGAAUAUACUAGCCCUAUUGCUUAUAGUAUCUGCGAUAUGGACUUGACCACCAAAACUUAACCUUGAUCACUGAUCCAUGAAAUGAGGUCGAGGUCAAGUGAAAACUGUCUGACAGACAUGAGGACCUUGCAAGGUACGCACAUAUCAAAUAUAGUUAUCCUAUUACUUAUAAUAAGAGAGAAUUCAACAUUACAAAAAAUUUGAACUUUUUUUUCAAGUGGUCACUGAACCAUGAAAAUGAGGUCAAGGGCAUUGGACAUGUGACUGACAGAAAC
rnacentral:lncRNA from 1 species